rnacentral:lncRNA from 1 species
UUAUAAUCAUGUGUUACUUCAUGGCUACCUGUUUUCUCUAUGGGAAGAAGUUCUUCACAUGAGAGUUUAUUUUAGUAGUGAUAGAUAAAGCUUCUACUCUCUUCAGGGACUUUUCUUAAAGUUGACUUUACUAUAACAACAGACAGUUCUUCAGUUUUCAGUUUUAUUGCUAUUUCUGCUAGAACACCUCAUCCACCAGCUUGGCCCCAUAAAUGAUAGUGGUCUCUCAAAGCAUGUCCCACCAGACAAAUGAAGACUGUCAUUCAGACUUUGCCUCCAGCAAUUACCUAGGAUUCCCUGGAAUAAGAGGACUCAGUGUCAUUAUCCCCUCCAGAAAACAGCCAGUCCUGAGCAUGCAGGGUUGCCAGCCUCAAUUUCAUCGUUUGCUUUUCUGCUUUUAAAUGUUUGCAAACAAUAGCAGUCCAUGUCACAUGUUUUAUUCUUUUUAGAUUAAUGAGGUGGCCUGUUCAAGUUAGACAGGCCAUAUUAAUUUCAGCGAAUGCGGUCCUUAGCACCACAAAAGCAAACAAAUGAUUUUAACUCAACUGGACAAAGAGUCUUGGCAUAGUAGGUGCGUAAUUGUUGGUUUUUGGAUUUGACUGGAGAGUGAGAGUUGUGAUUUUGAUUCUCCAAAAGCAGACUAUAUGAGCACCAAGUAUAUUUUAGGUCAUUUAGAAAGUUUGUUGUUUGAACAAAUGAGGAUAAGACAUCCAUCAGUUUUUGACACUGCACCAAAUCUGCUUGAUUUCAAAAGGAACUAACUAAACACUCCAUCACAAGAGUCCUGACAAAGAUGCACGGAUGGCUAUAUUAACGAGACUGUGUCAAAAUGAAUAAUAAUAAAUGGCUGUCUUGAGAAUCCAACGUAAAUUUCCUUAUCUAAAAUAGUGGUUUGUUUAAAUGAUGAAGCAAAGAUGGCAUUGGAGCUGUUGGCUGACUGUCCCUUUUUUUCUGCUAACUGCAGAAGCACGGAAUCUGAUGCCCUACUUUGUGGGGUAAUGGUGUGCUUAUCUCCCCCUCCUCAAACAGAGUUUGGCACGUUGCUAAUAACAGCCAGCCUACUGCUAAAAUAUCAAUGACAGAACAGAAGAAAUAGAUAUUUAGGAAAACAUAAAUCAAAGCUGAGGAAGUAGGCAAAAAAAAAGCACUGAUAGAAAGCAAAUAAAGAAAGAUCUAUAAUAUUGGGACAGGCAGCAUCUCCCUGCUCACAUGGUAAUUUUCUUUAGCCAGUAACCAACGAGGAUGCCUGCCAUGGGAAGAAGGUGUGAUUUUGUGAUUUAAUGAUCCAAAGCCCAUUUUUAGACACCACUUAGCCAUAAAGAGAGGCCCAAGUUUCUGUGGUCCAGGAGUCAUUGAGAUAAGUAUUUAUGACAAGGUCCACCCAAACACAAGGGGACACAAGAAGGGGGCAUGUCAGGCACAGGGAAUUUUCACAGUGGCUUACAAAGGCAAGUCUUACUCUUACCUAACACAGUAGUUCUCCACACUGGCUGCAUGUUAGAUCCCCACAGAAGAGCUUUUAAAAUCCCCAAUCCAAUAUUCUUGGAAUUGGGGGGCAGGAGAGAGUAGGAGACCCAGUCAUUAGUGGUUUUUAAAGCUCCCCAGUUAAAUAUUUAACUCCCAUUUGAAGAGGGGCUAAUAAGCUGAGAUUAAGAAAUACUGACCUAAAACAACAUGACGUAGACAGGCAAAUCAUUUGUGGAACUCAGGCCAGUUAAUUGGUCAUCUCCCUGAAACAAUUCAAAUUGGAGAAAAUUCUGUACAAAUGUAGUAAUAGUGAUGUUUUAUAUGUGUAUAGUAUUUUAAAUUUUAAGGUGUUUUUAUGUUCAUGUCAGGGUGCUCUCAGGAAAAUGCUUAGCAUCUUGUAAAACUGCAAAUGUUAGAUAUCAUCAACCCAGUGUUAUAAUUGAGAAAACAAGCAGAGUGCAAGUCUAGGACUUAUUUGGAGUCUCACCAAAGAAGUGGCUGGCAAAGCCUAAAAUUGGGGCACUGGACACUUUCCUAUAUUCUUCUAUCCUGGGAAUCAUGAUUUCCUUUGAAGAAUGCUGUAAAAUGUUGAGUGUAUUUGUUUUUGUCUGUUAUGAACUGUGAUUGGCCUCACACAUAAAUAAUGAAUUCUUUUAGGUUGCUUUAGGAAUGUGUUACUUUAGUAUCUCAAAUCAAUAAUACAAUCACAAGUGAAAC